UCGAACCGUAUGCGGGGAAAUUCGCAUGUGCGGUUCUUCGGGCGCCGCGUUUCCGGGAGGCAACGCGGCUACCCUCU
rnacentral:ncRNA from 1 species